rnacentral:lncRNA from 1 species
CUGACCUACAACAUAUCAUGCCCCCUGCCAUAUUUCAUGUUCAUGUGAGGAUGGGUCUUUUUCUUGGCUUUUAAAAUUCUGAUUCAUGGGUCUGUUUGCUUAUUCCUAUACCAAUGGAGGUCGCGGUGUGCCGAGAUCGCGCCACUGCACUCCAGCCUGGGCAACAAGAGCGAAACCCCAUCUCAAAAACCAAACCAAACAAACAAACAAACAGAAAAGAUGUAAAGAUACAUUUCAGUGAAUGAUAGAUCAAACAUAAAUUGGAAAAUAUAUAAGACUUGAAUAUCAUAGUUAACAAGCUUCAUAGAAUAAAUAUCCCCUCAUUUUUAAUUCUUU